rnacentral:rRNA from 1 species
GGUUAAGCGACUAAGCGUACACGGUGGAUGCCCUGGCAGUCAGAGGCGAUGAAGGACGUGCUAAUCUGCGAUAAGCGUCGGUAAGGUGAUAUGAACCGUUAUAACCGGCGAUUUCCGAAUGGGGAAACCCAGUGUGAUUCGUCACACUAUCAUUAACUGAAUCCAUAGGUUAAUGAGGCGAACCGGGGGAACUGAAACAUCUAAGUACCCCGAGGAAAAGAAAUCAACCGAGAUUCCCCCAGUAGCGGCGAGCGAACGGGGAGCAGCCCAGAGCCUGAAUCAGUGUGUGUGUUAGUGGAAGCGUCUGGAAAGGCGCGCGAUACAGGGUGACAGCCCCGUACACAAAAAUGCACAUGCUGUGAGCUCGAUGAGUAGGGCGGGACACGUGGUAUCCUGUCUGAAUAUGGGGGGACCAUCCUCCAAGGCUAAAUACUCCUGACUGACCGAUAGUGAACCAGUACCGUGAGGGAAAGGCGAAAAGAACCCCGGCGAGGGGAGUGAAAAAGAACCUGAAACCGUGUACGUACAAGCAGUGGGAGCACGCUUAGGCGUGUGACUGCGUACCUUUUGUAUAAUGGGUCAGCGACUUAUAUUCUGUAGCAAGGUUAACCGAAUAGGGGAGCCGAAGGGAAACCGAGUCUUAACUGGGCGUUAAGUUGCAGGGUAUAGACCCGAAACCCGGUGAUCUAGCCAUGGGCAGGUUGAAGGUUGGGUAACACUAACUGGAGGACCGAACCGACUAAUGUUGAAAAAUUAGCGGAUGACUUGUGGCUGGGGGUGAAAGGCCAAUCAAACCGGGAGAUAGCUGGUUCUCCCCGAAAGCUAUUUAGGUAGCGCCUCGUGAAUUCAUCUCCGGGGGUAGAGCACUGUUUCGGCAAGGGGGUCAUCCCGACUUACCAACCCGAUGCAAACUGCGAAUACCGGAGAAUGUUAUCACGGGAGACACACGGCGGGUGCUAACGUCCGUCGUGAAGAGGGAAACAACCCAGACCGCCAGCUAAGGUCCCAAAGUCAUGGUUAAGUGGGAAACGAUGUGGGAAGGCCCAGACAGCCAGGAUGUUGGCUUAGAAGCAGCCAUCAUUUAAAGAAAGCGUAAUAGCUCACUGGUCGAGUCGGCCUGCGCGGAAGAUGUAACGGGGCUAAACCAUGCACCGAAGCUGCGGCAGCGACACUGUGUGUUGUUGGGUAGGGGAGCGUUCUGUAAGCCUGUGAAGGUGUGCUGUGAGGCAUGCUGGAGGUAUCAGAAGUGCGAAUGCUGACAUAAGUAACGAUAAAGCGGGUGAAAAGCCCGCUCGCCGGAAGACCAAGGGUUCCUGUCCAACGUUAAUCGGGGCAGGGUGAGUCGACCCCUAAGGCGAGGCCGAAAGGCGUAGUCGAUGGGAAACAGGUUAAUAUUCCUGUACUUGGUGUUACUGCGAAGGGGGGACGGAGAAGGCUAUGUUGGCCGGGCGACGGUUGUCCCGGUUUAAGCGUGUAGGCUGGUUUUCCAGGCAAAUCCGGAAAAUCAAGGCUGAGGCGUGAUGACGAGGCACUACGGUGCUGAAGCAACAAAUGCCCUGCUUCCAGGAAAAGCCUCUAAGCAUCAGGUAACAUCAAAUCGUACCCCAAACCGACACAGGUGGUCAGGUAGAGAAUACCAAGGCGCUUGAGAGAACUCGGGUGAAGGAACUAGGCAAAAUGGUGCCGUAACUUCGGGAGAAGGCACGCUGAUAUGUAGGUGAAGCGACUUGCUCGUGGAGCUGAAAUCAGUCGAAGAUACCAGCUGGCUGCAACUGUUUAUUAAAAACACAGCACUGUGCAAACACGAAAGUGGACGUAUACGGUGUGACGCCUGCCCGGUGCCGGAAGGUUAAUUGAUGGGGUUAGCGCAAGCGAAGCUCUUGAUCGAAGCCCCGGUAAACGGCGGCCGUAACUAUAACGGUCCUAAGGUAGCGAAAUUCCUUGUCGGGUAAGUUCCGACCUGCACGAAUGGCGUAAUGAUGGCCAGGCUGUCUCCACCCGAGACUCAGUGAAAUUGAACUCGCUGUGAAGAUGCAGUGUACCCGCGGCAAGACGGAAAGACCCCGUGAACCUUUACUAUAGCUUGACACUGAACAUUGAGCCUUGAUGUGUAGGAUAGGUGGGAGGCUUUGAAGUGUGGACGCCAGUCUGCAUGGAGCCGACCUUGAAAUACCACCCUUUAAUGUUUGAUGUUCUAACGUUGACCCGUAAUCCGGGUUGCGGACAGUGUCUGGUGGGUAGUUUGACUGGGGCGGUCUCCUCCUAAAGAGUAACGGAGGAGCACGAAGGUUGGCUAAUCCUGGUCGGACAUCAGGAGGUUAGUGCAAUGGCAUAAGCCAGCUUGACUGCGAGCGUGACGGCGCGAGCAGGUGCGAAAGCAGGUCAUAGUGAUCCGGUGGUUCUGAAUGGAAGGGCCAUCGCUCAACGGAUAAAAGGUACUCCGGGGAUAACAGGCUGAUACCGCCCAAGAGUUCAUAUCGACGGCGGUGUUUGGCACCUCGAUGUCGGCUCAUCACAUCCUGGGGCUGAAGUAGGUCCCAAGGGUAUGGCUGUUCGCCAUUUAAAGUGGUACGCGAGCUGGGUUUAGAACGUCGUGAGACAGUUCGGUCCCUAUCUGCCGUGGGCGCUGGAGAACUGAGGGGGGCUGCUCCUAGUACGAGAGGACCGGAGUGGACGCAUCACUGGUGUUCGGGUUGUCAUGCCAAUGGCACUGCCCGGUAGCUAAAUGCGGAAGAGAUAAGUGCUGAAAGCAUCUAAGCACGAAACUUGCCCCGAGAUGAGUUCUCCCUGACCCUUUAAGGGUCCUGAAGGAACGUUGAAGACGACGACGUUGAUAGGCCGGGUGUGUAAGCGCAGCGAUGCGUUGAGCUAACCGGUACUAAUGAACCGUGAGGCUUAACCUU